UAACAGAGGGUGCAAGCGUUGUUCGGAAUUAUUGGGCGUAAAGGGCGCGUAGGCGGUGCGGUAAGUCUGUAGUGAAAUCUCUGGGCUCAACUCAGAGUCUGCUGCAGAAACUGCCGGUGCUUGAAGUGUGGGAGAGGUGAGUGGAAUUCCCGGUGUAGGCGGUGAAAUGCGUAGAUAUCGGGAGGAACACCUGGUGGCGAAAGCGGCUCACUGGACCACACUGACGCUGAGGCG
rnacentral:rRNA from 1 species